rnacentral:rRNA from 1 species
GGGGAAUUUUGGACAAUGGGGGCAACCCUGAUCCAGCCAUGCCGCGUGAGUGAAGAAGGCCUUCGGGUUGUAAAGCUCUUUCGGCCGGGAAGAAAUCGUGCAGGCUAAUACCCUGUAUGGAUGACGGUACCGGAAUAAGAAGCACCGGCUAACUACGUGCCAGCAGCCGCGGUAAUACGUAGGGUGCGAGCGUUAAUCGGAAUUACUGGGCGUAAAGCGUGCGCAGGCGGUUUUGUAAGACAGGCGUGAAAUCCCCGGGCUCAACCUGGGAACUGCGCUUGUGACUGCAAGACUUGAGUAUUGGAGAGGCAAGUGGAAUUCCUAGUGUAGCGGUGAAAUGCGUAGAUAUUAGGAGGAACACCGGUGGCGAAGGCGGCUUGCUGGACAAAUACUGACGCUGAGGUGCGAAAGCGUGGGGAGCAAACA